CCUACGUGAGGCAGCAGUGAGGAAUAUUGGUCAAUGGGCGCGAGCCUGAACCAGCCACGUAGCGUGAAGGAUGACUGCCCUACGGGUUGUAAACUUCUUUUAUAAAGGAAUAAAGUGAGGCACGUGUGCCUUUUUGUAUGUACUUUAUGAAUAAGGAUCGGCUAACUCCGUGCCAGCAGCCGCGUUAAUACGGAGGAUCCGAGCGUUAUCCGGAUUUAUUGGGUUUAAAGGGCGCGUAGAUGGGUUGUUAAGUCAGUUGUGAAAGUUUGCGGCUCAACCGUAAAAUUGCAAUUGAUACUGGCAGUCUUGAGUACAGUUGAGGUAGGCGGAAUUCGUGGUGUAGCGGUGAAAUGCUUAGAUAUCACGAAGAACUCCGAUUGCGAAGGCAGCUUACUAAACUGCCACUGACAUUGAUGCUCGAAAGUGUGGGUAUCAAACAGGAUUAGAUACCCCGGUAGUC
rnacentral:rRNA from 1 species